AUGGCUCCAUCCAUCAGCUGGCCAAGCUCUGGAGUGCUCACCUCCGGCCUAGCAUGGUCGCCCCCAACAUUCAUCAAUGAUGAGUUUGAAGCGUCUGAGAGCGACCAGUCUGUGGGCGGGGAAGAGGUGGAGCAGGUCGGGGGUGGCGACUCGUCGGAAGCAGGGCAAGGAAACAACGAAGCUGAUACGGUGAGCAUAACCGGGGGUGAGGAUGAAGAUUUUAUGGAUGAAUGUGUUUGUUUGAUUGUUGUUUCCAAUUGGUUUGUUGUUGCAGGAAUCUAUGGAAGGCCGGAUCGGGAUGAAUGA
rnacentral:rRNA from 1 species